AGCGGUAGGAGAGGUGGCUGCAUCUCUUGAGAGCGGCGGACGGGUGAGUAAUGCCUAGGAAUCUGCCUAGUGGUGGGGGAGUAACGUUCGGAAACGGACGCUAAUACCGCAUACGUCCUACGGGAGAAAGCGGGGGAUCUUCGGACCUCGCGCCAUUAGAUGAGCCUAGGUCGGAUUAGCUAGUUGGUGAGGUAAUGGCUCACCAAGGCGACGAUCCGUAACUGGUCUGAGAGGAUGAUCAGUCACACUGGAACUGAGACACGGUCCAGACUCCUACGGGAGGCAGCAGUGGGGAAUAUUGGACAAUGGGCGAAAGCCUGAUCCAGCCAUGCCGCGUGUGUGAAGAAGGUCUUCGGAUUGUAAAGCACUUUAAGUUGGGAGGAAGGGCAGUAAGUUAAUACCUUGCUGUUUUGACGUUACCAACAGAAUAAGCACCGGCUAACUUCGUG
rnacentral:rRNA from 1 species